rnacentral:rRNA from 1 species
GGGGGGCUGCUCCUAGUACGAGAGGACCGGAGUGGACGCAUCACUGGUGUUCGGGUUGUCAUGCCAAUGGCACUGCCCGGUAGCUAAAUGCGGAAGAGAUAAGUGCUGAAAGCAUCUAAGCACGAAACUUGCCCCGAGAUGAGUUCUCCCUGACUCCUUGAGAGUCCUGAAGGAACGUUGAAGACGACGACGUUGAUAGGCCGGGUGUGUAAGCGCAGCGAUGCGUUGAGCUAACCGGUACUAAUGAACCGUGAGGCUUAACCUUACAACGCCGAAGGUGUUU